rnacentral:tRNA from 1 species
GCCUGGAUGGCUCAGUCCAGUUGAGCGUCUGACUUCAGCUCAGAUCAAGAUCUCACAGUUCAUGUGUUCGAGCCCCAUGUCAGGCC